rnacentral:rRNA from 1 species
UACAGAGGUCUCAAGCGUUGUUCGGAUUCAUUGGGCGUAAAGGGUGCGUAGGUGGCGCUGUAAGUCGGGUGUGAAAUUUCGGAGCUUAACUCCGAAACUGCAUUCGAUACUGCGGUGCUUGAGGACUGGAGAGGAGACUGGAAUUCAUGGUGUAGCAGUGAAAUGCGUAGAUAUCUGGAGGAACACCGGUGGCGAAGGCGGCGUUCUGGACUGCAACUGACACUGAGGAACGAAAGCCAGGGGAGCAAACGGG